CAUUAGGGCUUGCCCGCGAUAGCGUUGGUUCAGUCAAUAUCGUCGGUGACUGAUACACCGCUAUCGCGGGCAAGCCCGCUCC
rnacentral:misc_RNA from 1 species